rnacentral:rRNA from 1 species
GACGAACGCUGGCGGCGUGCUUAACACAUGCAAGUCGAACGGUGAAGCGCCUUCCUUUUUGGUGGGUGUGGAUGAGUGGCGAACGGGUGAGUAACACGUGAGUAACCUGCCCCCUUCUUCUGGAUAACCGCAUGAAAGUGUGGCUAAUACGGGAUAUUCUGGGUCUGUCGCAUGAUGGGUCUGGGAAAGAUAUUGUUUCGGUGGGGGAUGGGCUCGCGGCCUAUCAGCUUGUUGGUGGGGUGAUGGCCUACCAAGGCGGUGACGGGUAGCCGACCUGAGAGGGUGGACGGUCACACUGGGACUGAGACACGGCCCAGACUCCUACGGGAGGCAGCAGUGGGGAAUAGUGCACAAUGGGCGCAAGCCUGAUGCAGCGACGCCGCGUGAGGGAUGGAGGCCUUCGGGUUGUGAACCUCUUUCGCCAGUGAAGCAGGCCUGCCUCGUUUGUGGGUGGGUUGACGGUAGCUGGAUAAGAAGCGCCGGCUAACUACGUG